AGAGUUUGAUCCUGGCUCAGAUUGAACGCUGGCGGAAUGCUUUACACAUGCAAGUCGAACGGUAGAGGGGGCAACCCCUUGAGAGUGGCGAACGGGUGAGUAAUAUAUCGGAACGUGCCCAGUCGUGGGGGAUAACGUAGCGAAAGUUACGCUAAUACCGCAUACGAUCUAUGGAUGAAAGCGGGGGACCGUAAGGCCUCGCGCGAUUGGAGCGGCCGAUAUCAGAUUAGGUAGUUGGUGGGGUAAAGGCUCACCAAGCCAACGAUCUGUAGCUGGUCUGAGAGGACGACCAGCCACACUGGAACUGAGACACGGUCCAGACUCCUACGGGAGGCAGCAGUGGGGAAUUUUGGACAAUGGACGCAAGUCUGAUCCAGCCAUUCCGCGUGCAGGAUGAAGGCCCUCGGGUUGUAAACUGCUUUUGUACGGAACGAAAAGGUCUCUAUUAAUACUGGGGGCUCAUGACGGUACCGUAAGAAUAAGCACCGGCUAACUACGUGCCAGCAGCCGCGGUAAUACGUAGGGUGCAAGCGUUAAUCGGAAUUACUGGGCGUAAAGCGUGUGCAGGCGGUUAUGUAAGACAGAGGUGAAAUCCCCGGGCUCAACCUGGGAACUGCCUUUGUGACUGCAUAGCUAGAGUACGGUAGAGGGGGAUGGAAUUCCGCGUGUAGCAGUGAAAUGCGUAGAUAUGCGGAGGAACACCGAUGGCGAAGGCAAUCCCCUGGACCUGUACUGACGCUCAUGCACGAAAGCGUGGGGAGCAAACAGGAUUAGAUACCCUGGUAGUCCACGCCCUAAACGAUGUCAACUGGUUGUUGGGUCUUCACUGACUCAGUAACGAAGCUAACGCGUGAAGUUGACCGCCUGGGGAGUAC
rnacentral:rRNA from 1 species